UGUUUACAGCACUGUUUACGUAGCUCAUAAGGGCUUCCAAUAGAAGGCACUUUGAUUUCGCUGGUAUUCGCGAAGGUAUCAAAAGACUUCGUCCGCAAUUGUUCUCCAUUGGAUUAUUCGUUUUGUCACACGUCUUGCAAUCCUCGUAAACAUUUUGUGUGAGCGGGCUCGAGGAUUGGGAUAUAUUCUCCGUAUCUUUGGAAGAAGUAGAUGCGUUCGAACGCGUGGAAGAGUUAGAUGGAUUCAAAAGAUUCGGAUUUACCAAGGCAAUCGCUUGUGUAUUCAAUGGUUCGAACAAAGGAUUAGAAUUGUUCUUUUUUCUGUUUGGAACAUAAAUUAAACGAACAAAGUUAAUCAGUAAGUGGAGAUAUAGAGAAAGAAAAAGGUAAAGAAGGAAAAUAUAAGAUCGUACGUCUCUUUUUCGAAUGGCUUCCUCCAAUAAAGCGACAACGUCCUCGCCUAUAACUCCGCUACAAUUAAAGCCCUUUGUCCAUCUUACAAGAUAGCCUUUUGUUAGACCGUGCUGAGACAAUGGAAAACUAAAGGAUUAACAUCGUGCAACGAAAAACCUGUUACCUGUGCCAUUUGGAAGAUCCUGUACGUAUGUGGUAAAGCAUUUCACAAUGGCAUCGUCGUGGCCAGAUUUUGAGAGCCCUUUAGUAAUCUCUUCCAAGAGCCUUUCCAUAACUAAUUGGAGUUGAUCGUUGGAGAGAAUAAGGUCCUUGCAGGCAUCUCGUAUCUUAGAUAAAAAAAAAAAAAAAACAGCCAAGUUAAAUACAACAUUCUAAUUAGCACAUUACUUACAGACGAACGAAUCGACUGACGAUUAACAUUCUUCGAACGACCUUCGACAAAUUUUCUAUUAUCUAUCAUCAUUCUUACUAGAAAGAUCUACUCGAGAAAAAGAAAUAUGAAAUAUCCUAUUGCAUAAUUAUAUUUCGUCAUCGAUAUUUAUAAAGAAUCUAUAUAUCAUGAAAAUGAAAAUAACGAACGCGUUUUAUCUUUUCGAUCGUUCGAUUAAUUCAGGAUACGUUCGGAUAUGUUCGAGUCGAUUUUCUAGCGAUAUACAAUUUCGAAUUAAGUUCGAAUUUAAUACGUUAAUUAAUUCAUCGGAAUGAAUUUCAUGUAAAUAUUUAACAAUGUUCGCGUGAAGAAUUUACCAUAUUUUGGAAUAUUUCGAUAUAAAUCGAAUCACCAACAGAUGUUUCAACUAAUAUUAAGCAAAGUUUUAACUAAACUUUUCACAUAGAAAAUUUCGCAAUCGUAAAAUUCAUUCGAUGCCAUCGAGACGAAUUUUAUUUUAUUUUAUUUUUUUCCAUUUGUAAUACGUAUCUCUCGUUGGAAAGAUUCAAAUCACGUGAUAUUUGCCCAGGUCACGUGACACUCAAAGAGAUACGCAAAUUUGAAAUUUCCCGGGAAAUCAAGACUUCCGGAGUCUUAACAACACUCUCCUUGCAGGGUUUAAACAUCGAUCUUUUCCUGAUGUUGUUGGCACACCCGUGAGCCAACCAAUAAAACGGUUCAUGAAUGGGCUAUACAGAGAAGGACGAUACACGAUAUACUUUAAGUCUUUCUCUCUCUCUCUCUCCCUCUCUCUCUUUCUCUCUCUCUCUCUCUCUCUCUCGAAUACUAUGAUACUUGUACGCUAGUAGCUCAACACAACGUGUAAAGGCCAAUGCACACAUUAAUUCGUAUAAUGAAUGUGCGGCAUAACGCUUUAGAAUCAUCCAGUUAAGGAUCGAUCAUUAUCAUUGUCGUACGCAAUUUACGUAGGAUUGAUCCGUUUAAACGUUAUAACGUCUCUAUCUUCGUCUCAUAUUAAUUCAUAGUUAGCUGAUAAAAAGUUUAUAAAUUAGACAGGAAUGAUAUGCAUAUAAAAGUUCAAUGUCGCAAGAUUUUUACUAUUUUGAUUCCAAGUACUUUUCAUUGACAUUAAGAAAUGAUAACGUGUUUCAAAUCGUUUUUACAUCAUACCAUGACGUUCGAUAAUUUCCCCCAUGAAACAUAUAGUUCUAUGGCGAUAUUAGAUCAAGUACAUCGACUUCAUAAAUCACAGAUAAUAGUUAAACAAAAUUUAAACAGUCGGAUAAUCCGAGCAAGAAAUCGUAAUCACAAUCAAUAGAUUUUAUUAAAGACGUUCGUACAGAUACGAAAAUUUAUUUUUAAUAUCAUUUGACGAGAUUGAGAACGACUAGAUAAAUCAUUAUUAUGAUUGAUAAUGAUUAUUGAGAUUAACCUUUCAUCCCUUUUGAUAUCAACCUAUGUAUAUCUGUUAUUACGAUCGUAUUACUUUAUACGAAUCGACUUUGCUCGGUGCAAAAAUUGUAUUCGUCAUCUAAAGAUACUCUCAUUUCCGACUAAUGCAUUCCUGUGGUUUUUCCUAAGAACUUGUCGAUAAAAUAAACGUGCGAUGUACUAUUAUUACUUAUGCAAACCGAUAAUCGUUGUUCUCGAUCCCUUGUUUCGUUAAACAAAGCUGAUUGUAGUCGUUAGUGUAUAGGUACGAUUAUAAUUGCUUACACUCUCGAUAUAUAGUAUAAAGUCUAAUGGACGAUUAUUUUCGUAACUCUAUCAGAUAUUGAAAAAUUUUAUUGGAUUUUAACGUAACAUAUCAAAAUUGAAACGUGUACGUGCGCGCGUAAUAACCUAUUUCGGUCAUUUAAACUAGAUCGAUUGAAAUUUAUGCAUAAAAUGAAGUUACUUGCAACGACGAUUCAUAAUUAAUUUCGUUUCGAUCCGAUUUCCGGUUUCAAAGUGGCGAUGCUAUGAAAAAUUAAAAUAUUCAUAGAAAAUUUCACAUGCAACGAUAAAAUAUAUAGAUUUUUCCAUAGGAGUAUUUGAAAUAAUAGUCAUUUUAAUCGUGAAAUUUUGGAAAAUUUCCUUGUUAAGAUUUCUAAGUCUAUAAAUUGGAAUUUAUAGACUUAAUUUAAAGAUAUCUAUCUAUCUUUCUAAAUUUGCUAUAUAUGUAUAUACAUACAUGUAUAUAUAUAUAUAUAUAUAUAUAAUAUAUUUCUAUGCAUAUAGAGGCAUUUGCGUGCACGUGUACGUCUGAAUACAAACCUAUGUAAAUUUUGCAAAGCCAAACGAUAUAACGAAUAAAAAUUUAUAUAAAAAAGUCACAAGUCACGAGUGUAAUUUCAGCAGGAUUUGACAAUCAAAUUAAAAAAAUAUUUAUCGAGCAUUCCAAUGAUUAACAAAUUUAUAACAAAUACCAUAUGUAAAUGGAAAAUAUAAAAAUUAUGCAACAAUAUUUAAAAUAGUAUUAGUAAUUAACGUAAUCAACGUACGUUGGUCGUGAGUAUUGCGAAAGUAAGAAGCCCUUGAUCACGCAGAACUUUUCUUGUCUCGUUGCUUUUCAAUUUACAAUUUCUAAACAUUACUUGAACGAUCUUAGACAAAAUCAAUAAGAUCGUAGAAUCGUUUGGAUUCUCGAGAAUUUGUCGAUGACGAUAAGUUUUAUUAAUGAAUAUAAUUAUUGUAUAUUCACAGAUGAUAUCUCAACGACAUGCACAAUCAAGCAGAUAUCAACUAGGAUUGAAAUAGCUCUAUUUCAUUCACAAAAAGUGCAAACUACGCGCAGGACUCGAGGAAUCCCACGCUCUCGUCGACGGACUUUGCCAAAAGGAUUAUGUAAUCAUUACAGUCGUAAUUAUCGCCGUCGAAAAGAAUUCGUUAUUAAUUGUUCGGCCUUCGAGUACCGAAUCAUCGCACCGUACAAGAGAAAAGACGAGUGUAUGACACACAUAUUUACACAAUAUAACACGCUACUAAUAACAAUAACAAUAACAAUAAUAGAGAGGAGUAUUACGAAUGACGUAAGGAACGACUUUAAAAGAGUGACUCCGAAAAUGAUACUUUUAAAUAACAAAUAUGUCAGUUUUAAUGACUUUAACGUUUGGAUAUUUACAUUUUUUUCUUUUUUUAAUCAAUAACGAACAUUGAUUUGAAAAUAUUAUAAUCGACAAUUGGCUUCCUCGUCGAUUUUUGUCGAAGAGAUUGACGAAGGUAAAGAAGAAUAAUUAAGAUUCCUGCGUAAUAAGCCGUGGAAUGUGAGUGAGAAAGAUAGAGAACAGUUGGUUAUAUCCCAACGUGCCAACAUACCAAAUGUGUGUUCUCUUUAUCGAUUGUCUCCCCCGUCUCUCCCUCUCUUUCUCUUUCUUUCUCUCUCACUCUUUUUUUACACACACAGACACACUAUUUCUCUCUCUCUCUCUCUCUCUUCCCUUUUCACUCCUCACCUCUUGCUUGAUCGGGUCGUUGGAAGAUAAGGUAGAAGUCUUCAUAGCUCUCCCUUCGUCGCCCAAGGACGAGCUACCCUCGAGGAACUUCGUGUUUGCCGAGUGAAUAUACAACGGUUUAAAAAGAAAUAAUAAUUUGCUGCCGUUAAUAUUGUUCUUGAUAUACUAAGUCGGCAGCAGUCGAUGUUAAUGUCUUUCGAAGCAAUCGUUUCUCUUCUCUCUCUCUCUCUCUUUCUCUCUCUUCACUUCGUUGAAGCGACGACGAUGACGACGACGACGACGACGACGACGACGACGACGACAAAUAUUUAUGAAAAAAUUUUAAAAGAACUUGUAAUAUACGUACGCGUUGUACACCGAACGAAAAAAAAAAAAAGAAUGAACGAUCUGAAAAAUUCUCUCUCGACACUUUACGUUUUUUCUUAACUCUGACUUCUUUUUAGCUAUCUAUCUAUCUCGUUCUAUUCCUUUUUAUUCUCUUUUGCUUCUAGAGAUACACGUAAGUCACGAACGUGCGUCGGACCGAACGA